GUUGGUGGUGUAGGGGGGAGCACAGCUGCCUUCCAAGCAGUUGACCCGGGUUCGAUUCCCGCACUGACA
rnacentral:tRNA from 1 species